rnacentral:rRNA from 1 species
CCUACGGGAGGCAGCAGUGAGUAAUAUUGGUCAAUGGACGAGAGUCUGAACCAGCCAAGUAGCGUGAAGGAUGACUGCCCUAUGGGUUGUAAACUUCUUUUAUCUGGGAAUAAAAUGUUCCAAGUGUGGGAUUUUGUAUGUACCAUAUGAAUAAGGAUCGGCUAACUCGGUGCCAGAAGCCGCGGUACACCGGAGGAUCAGCGGGUUAUCCGGAUUGUUGGGGUUUAAAGGGAGCGUAGGUGGAUUGUUAAGUAAGUUGUGAAAGUUUGCGGCUCAACCGUAAAAUUGCGGUUGAAACUGGCAGUCUUGAGUACAGUAGAGGUGGGCGGAAUUCGUGGUGUAGCGGUGAAAUGCUUAGAUAUCACGAAGAACUCCGAUUGCGAAGGCAGCUCACUGGACUGCAACUGACACUGAGGCUCGAAAGUGUGGGUAUCAAACAGGAUUAGAUACCCGAGUAGUC